rnacentral:rRNA from 1 species
CUUUCCGCAGCUUACACAUGCAGUCGAACGGAAUCUUCGGAUUUAGUGGCGGACGGGUGAGUAACGCGUGAGAAUCUGGCUUCAGGUCGGGGACAACAGUUGGAAACGACUGCUAAUACCGGAUGUGCCGAGAGGUAAAAGAUUAAUUGCCUGAAGAUGAGCUCGCGUCUGAUUAGCUAGUUGGUGUGGUAAGAGCGCACCAAGGCGACGAUCAGUAGCUGGUCUGAGAGGAUGAUCAGCCACACUGGGACUGAGACACGGCCCAGACUCCUACGGGAGGCAGCAGUGGGGAAUUUUCCGCAAUGGGCGAAAGCCUGACGGAGCAAUACCGCGUGAGGGAGGAAGGCUCUUGGGUUGUAAACCUCUUUUCUCAAGGAAUAAAAAAAUGAAGGUACUUGAGGAAUAAGCAUCGGCUAACUCCGUGCCAGCAGCCGCGGUAAUACGGAGGAUGCAAGCGUUAUCCGGAAUGAUUGGGCGUAAAGGGUCCGCAGGUGGCAGUGAAAGUCUGCUGUCAAAGAAUGAGGCUCAACCUCAUCAAGGCAGUGGAAACUACACAGCUAGAGUACGGUCGGGGUAGAAGGAAUUCCUGGUGUAGCGGUGAAAUGCGUAGAA